AUUAUACCGCGAAACUGCGAAUGGCUCAUUAAAUCAGUUAUCGUUUAUUUGAUAGUUCCAUACUACUUGGAUAACCGUGGUAAUUCUAGAGCUAAUACAUGCAAAAAACCGCGACUUCGGAAGCGGUGUAUUUAUUAGAUUAAAGACCAAUGCCCUUCGGGGCUGACAGGUGAUUCAUGAUAACUUCUCGAAUCGCAUGGCCUUGCGCCGGCGAUGGUUCAUUCAAAUUUCUGCCCUAUCAACUUUCGACUUUAGUGUAGUGGACUAAAGUGGUUGCAACGGGUAACGGAGGGUUAGGGCUCGACCCCGGAGAAGGAGCCUGAGAAACGGCUACUACAUCCAAGGAAGGCAGCAGGCGCGCAAAUUACCCAAUCCCGACACGGGGAGGUAGUGACAAUAAAUACUGAUACAGGGCUCUUUUGGGUCUUGUAAUUGGAAUGAGUACAAUUUAAAUCCCUUAACGAGGAACAAUUGGAGGGCAAGUCUGGUGCCAGCAGCCGCGGUAAUUCCAGCUCCAAUAGCGUAUAUUAAAGUUGUUGUGGUUAAAAAGCUCGUAGUUGAACCUGGGCCUCGCGCAGACCGGUCCGCCUCACCGCGUGCACUGGUCCUGCCGGGGCUUUCACUAGGGGAUUCGCAUGUCCUUCACUGGGCGUGCGCGGAACCUGGACUUUUACUGUGAAAAAAUUAGAGUGUUCAAAGCAGGCCUAUGCUCGAAUACAUUAGCAUGGAAUAAUAGAAUAGGACGUGUGGUUCUAUUUUGUUGGUUAUGGGACCGCCGUAAUGAUUAAUAGGGACAGUCGGGGGCAUCAGUAUUCAAUUGUCAGAGGUGAAAUUCUUGGAUUUAUUGAAGACUAACUACUGCGAAAGCAUUUGCCAAGGAUGUUUUCAUUAAUCAGGAACGAAAGUUAGGGGAUCGAAGACGAUCAGAUACCGUCGUAGUCUUAACCAUAAACUAUGCCGACUAGGGAUCGGGCGAUGUUACUUUUUGACUCGCUCGGCACCUUACGAGAAAUCAAAGUCUGUGG
rnacentral:rRNA from 1 species